UACGUAGGUGACAAGCGUUGUCCGGAUUUACUGGGCGUAAAGAGCUCGUAGGCGGUUUGUUGCGUCGGCUGUGAAAUCCCGAGGCUCAACCUCGGGUCUGCAGUCGAUACGAGCAAACUAGAGUGUUGCAGGGGAGACUGGAAUUCCUGGUGUAGCGGUGAAAUGCGCAGAUAUCAGGAGGAACACCAGUGGCGAAGGCGGUCUGCUGGGCAGUUGCUGACACUGAGGCGCGAAAGCGCGGGGAGCGAACCGG
rnacentral:rRNA from 1 species